rfam:Aedes albopictus isolate Foshan contig68669, whole genome shotgun sequence.
UGCCCAGCAACUCCUAUCCCUACCUCCACGCGGUACCGGCCGGAAACUAUGAGCAACCUUAGGGAAGAACGGGUAACCAACCCCGGUGGGAACUUUGGUCGUAGGCUGACAGGGAAGG